GACGAACGCUGGCGGCGUGCCUAAUAUAUGCAAGUAGAACGCUGAAGCUUGGUGCUUGCACCGAGCGGAUGAGUUGCGAACGGGUGAGUAACGCGUAGGUAACCUGCCUGGUAGCGGGGGAUAACUAUUGGAAACGAUAGCUAAUACCGCAUAAGAGUAGAUGUUGCAUGACAUUUGCUUAAAAGGUGCAAUUGCAUCACUACCAGAUGGACCUGCGUUGUAUUAGCUAGUUGGUGAGGUAACGGCUCACCAAGGCAACGAUACAUAGCCGACCUGAGAGGGUGAUCGGCCACACUGGGACUGAGACACGGCCCAGACUCCUACGGGAGGCAGCAGUAGGGAAUCUUCGGCAAUGGACGGAAGUCUGACCGAGCAACGCCGCGUGAGUGAAGAAGGGUUUCGGAUCGUAAAGCUCUGUUGUAAGAGAAGAACGAGUGUGAGAGUGGAAAGUUCACACUGUGACGGUAUCUUACCAGAAAGGGACGGCUAACUACGUG
rnacentral:rRNA from 1 species